ACUUUUCCCCAUGGAGCAGAAAGCAAGCCUGGAUUGCAGAGGGAACGGGAAAGGGACUCGUGACUUUACCUCCCUGGUCAUUUCAGGGGGUUGCUGUCACCCAUCACACUUGUGAUGAAGCUGCCAAGAUUUCCUCCUAGCUCUUGGGCAAGUCAUCACAUCUGUGUCUCUGUCUUAGGUCCCCCACUUGUGAAAUGCAGCUAUUGAUCCUUCUGCUGUCCCACCCAUGUCCUGUCCUGCCCAGUUACCAUGAGGUGUGGAAGCCACAGCAAGAGGCCAAAUCCUGACCCCCCAGAAAAGGGCUGAGCUCUCCAGGAUGUGCAGGGACACUUUGACCCUCUCUGUGGCUUCUGGCCUCCUUGGGCUCUGCAGGGGUUUCCAGGCCUUUGAGAGAGAGCCAAAGGAACCUGUUGCCAAGGAGACUUUGGCA
rnacentral:lncRNA from 1 species